ACCAUGCAAGUCGAACGAUGAAGCCUUUCGGGGUGGAUUAGUGGCGAACGGGUGAGUAACACGUGGGCAAUCUGCCCUUCACUCUGGGACAAGCCCUGGAAACGGGGUCUAAUACCGGAUAAUACUUUCCUCCGCAUGGGGGAGGGUUGAAAGCUCCGGCGGUGAAGGAUGAGCCCGCGGCCUAUCAGCUUGUUGGUGGGGUGAUGGCCUACCAAGGCGACGACGGGUAGCCGGCCUGAGAGGGCGACCGGCCACACUGGGACUGAGACACGGCCCAGACUCCUACGGGAGGCAGCAGUGGGGAAUAUUGCACAAUGGGCGAAAGCCUGAUGCAGCGACGCCGCGUGAGGGAUGACGGCCUUCGGGUUGUAAACCUCUUUCAGCAGGGAAGAAGCGCAAGUGACGGUACCUGCAGAAGAAGCACCGGCUAACUACGUGCCAGCAGCCGCGGUAAUACGUAGGGUGCGAGCGUUGUCCGGAAUUAUUGGGCGUAAAGAGCUCGUAGGCGGCUUGUCACGUCGGAUGUGAAAGCCCGGGGCUUAACCCCGGGUCUGCAUUCGAUACGGGCAGGCUAGAGUGUGGUAGGGGAGAUCGGAAUUCCUGGUGUAGCGGUGAAAUGCGCAGAUAUCAGGAGGAACACCGGUGGCGAAGGCGGAUCUCUGGGCCAUUACUGACGCUGAGGAGCGAAAGCGUGGGGAGCGAACAGGAUUAGAUACCCUGGUAGUCCACGCCGUAAACGUUGGGAACUAGGUGUUGGCGACAUUCCACGUCGUCGGUGCCGCAGCUAACGCAUUAAGUUCCCCGCCUGGGGAGUACGGCCGCAAGGCUAAAACUCAUGAA
rnacentral:rRNA from 1 species